rnacentral:rRNA from 1 species
GACAGAGGAUGCAAGCGUUAUCCGGAAUCAUUGGGCGUAAAGCGCGUGUAGGCGGUCCGGUAAGUCCGCUGUGAAAGUCGAGGGCUCAACCCUCGAAUGCCGGUGGAUACUGUCGGGCUAGAGUACGGAAGAGGCGAGUGGAAUUCCUGGUGUAGCGGUGAAAUGCGCAGAUAUCAGGAGGAACACCAAUUGCGAAGGCAGCUCGCUGGAACGUAACUGACGCUGAGACGCGAAAGCGUGGGGAGCAAACAGG